rnacentral:rRNA from 1 species
AGAGUUUGAUCCAUGGCUCAGAUUGAACGCUGGCGGCAUGCCUUACACAUGCAAGUCGAACGGCAGCACGGGAGCAAUCCUGGUGGCGAGUGGCGAACGGGUGAGUAAUACAUCGGAACGUGCCCAAUCGUGGGGGAUAACGCAGCGAAAGCUGUGCUAAUACCGCAUAAGAUCUACGGAUGAAAGCAGGGGAUCGCAAGACCUUGCGCGAAUGGAGCGGCCGAUGGCAGAUUAGGUAGUUGGUGAGGUAAAGGCUCACCAAGCCUUCGAUCUGUAGCUGGUCUGAGAGGACGACCAGCCACACUGGGACUGAGACACGGCCCAGACUCCUACGGGAGGCAGCAGUGGGGAAUUUUGGACAAUGGGCGAAAGCCUGAUCCAGCCAUGCCGCGUGCAGGAUGAAGGCCUUCGGGUUGUAAACUGCUUUUGUACGGAACGAAACGGCCUUUUCUAAUAAAGAGGGCUAAUGACGGUACCGUAAGAAUAGCAUCGGCUAU